rnacentral:rRNA from 1 species
GAUGAACGCUGGCGGCGUGCCUAAUACAUGCAAGUCGAGCGAACAGACGAGGAGCUUGCUCCUCCGACGUUAGCGGCGGACGGGUGAGUAACACGUGGAUAACCUACCUAUAAGACUGGGAUAACUUCGGGAAACCGGAGCUAAUACCGGAUAAUAUAUUGAACCGCAUGGUUCAAUAGUGAAAGACGGUUUUGCUGUCACUUAUAGAUGGAUCCGCGCCGCAUUAGCUAGUUGGUAAGGUAACGGCUCACCAAGGCAACGAUGCGUAGCCGACCUGAGAGGGUGAUCGGCCACACUGGAACUGAGACACGGUCCAGACUCCUACGGGAGGCAGCAGUAGGGAAUCUUCCGCAAUGGGCGAAAGCCUGACGGAGCAACGCCGCGUGAGUGAUGAAGGUCUUCGGAUCGUAAAACUCUGUUAUUAGGGAAGAACAAAUGUGUAAGUAACUAUGCACGUCUUGACGGUACCUAAUCAGAAAGCCACGGCUAACUACGUG